rnacentral:rRNA from 1 species
GACGAACGCUGGCGGCGUGCCUAACACAUGCAAGUCGAACGGGAUCCAUGAGAGCUUGCUCUCGGAAGAUCUAGUGGCGAACGGGUGAGUAACACGUGAGAAACCUGCCCUGGAGUGGGGAAUAACUCGGGGAAACUCGAGCUAAUACCGCAUACCCUCGGAUGGUCGCAUGGCCGACCGAGGAAAGAUUUAUCGCUCUAGGAGGGUCUCGCGGCCUAUCAGCUAGUUGGUGGGGUAACGGCCUACCAAGGCAACGACGGGUAGCUGGUUUGAGAGAACGAUCAGCCACACUGGGACUGAGACACGGCCCAGACUCCUACGGGAGGCAGCAGUGGGGAAUCUUGCGCAAUGGGCGAAAGCCUGACGCAGCAACGCCGCGUGCGGGAUGACGGCCUUCGUGGUUGUAAACCGCUUUCAGCAGGGACGAAAAUGACGGUACCUGCAGAAGAAGCCCCGGCUAACUACGUGCCAGCAGCCGCAGUAACAC